UACGUAGGGUGCGAGCGUUGUCCGGAAUUAUUGGGCGUAAAGAGCUCGUAGGCGGUCUGUCGCGUCGAUCGUGAAAACUUGGGGCUUAACCCUGAGCUUGCGGUCGAUACGGGCAUGACUGGAGUUCGGCAGGGGAGACUGGAAUUCCUGGUGUAGCGGUGAAAUGCGCAGAUAUCAGGAGGAACACCGGUGGCGAAGGCGGGUCUCUGGGCCGAGUGACUGACGCUGAGGAGCGAAAGCGUGGGGAGCGAACAGGA
rnacentral:rRNA from 1 species